rnacentral:lncRNA from 1 species
AGGUUUGGAGUUGGAGCUAGUGAAGAUCCUGACCAUUUUCACCACCAUUGACAUUUCAUGCAACAACUUUGAAGGGCCAAUACCAGAAGUAAUAGGCACAUUCAAAGCACUUUAUGGCCUCAACUUCUCACACAAUGCUUUCUCAGGGCCAAUCCCGGUAUUUUUUGGAAACCUGCGAGAGCUAGAGUCUGUGGACCUCUCAAGCAACAGUCUAGAUGGUGAGAUCCCUUUGCAGCUGGCAAACCUCAAUUUCCUUUCAUUUCUUAACGUCUCAAAUAAUAAGCUGGUGGGUCCAAUCCCAACGAGCACCCAGCUUCAAUCAUUUUCAGAAGCUUCAUUUGAGAACAAUGUUGGAUUGUGUGGACCUCCUUUAAAGGCAACAUGCGGAUUACCACCAGCUAAAACAGACAACCCUUCGGAUGCUAGGAGCACUAUCAACUGGAAUUAUAUAAGUGCUGAGACAGGGUUUUGCUUUGGAUUCGGAGUUUCCGUUACACUUCUUAUCUUUUGGAAGAGAUGGAGGAAAUGGUAUUUUGAGCGCAUGGAUCGUGCUCUUUCCUGGCUUUUCCCUUGUUUGCCUCUUGAAACCAGAAAGCAUGGGAGGAGAGCUACCCGGAACGAAAGGAGGCACUAGCAAAGAGUAGGGACUAGGUUAAAAGAAGUCGUCUUCGUUGUAUUUUUCAGUUUUUGUAUGCUUAUACUUUCCUUGUAAUAAGAUUAUCCUGUUUCUUUUGGAUUAAAUAAUGAUGUCUACCAGCUAUGUUGUGCUUGAAACUAGGCUAGCAUUCUUACAGUUUCAGGCAAAUGAAAAAUGAUUUCACUUAUCUAGCUGAACAUUGCAAUCAUGAGUAAUGACAGAAGGCUCAUCAGCACAAGCUAUCCACUAUGGCAUUUGUGACAGAAUCUAAUAGUUUUACGUAAUAUUUGCAUGAUAAUUGUUAUAUAACCAUUCAGUUUCACCUGUUCUUGUCUGGUUUGGAGGUUUAGAACAUAAUCAAAUUUUAGCGUUAUGUCAUAUCUGAAAUAACUUAUAUUUAGAACAACCAUAAUCAAAGAUGAAUUUUGCUUAAAUUGUUAAGAAAUUUUCCUAUUCUUUUGAUCAUGUAAGGAUGGCCGAUAGUGAUUAUAUUACUUGGUUUCUGUUUGCAUCAAUGAAAAAUAUUACAUAAGUCCUUGAACUCCUUGUAAAUUAGUAUAUGUGCUUUUAUUUUUAGAAAUUUUGUCCCUUAACUUUUUAGAUUUCAAAAUUUAGAUAUAAUAGUUAAAGCUGCUAAAUUAUUUUCCUUUAAAUUUAAAUUUAGAUUCAUUACAAUAUUAUCUUUUUAGUCACUGGGCUACCAAGUGAAUAUUCUUUUCAAUUUCUAAAUCUCACACCAACAAAUUUAACAAAAUAAAAUAAUAGUGUUAACAAUUGGAUUUGAGUUUUAAAAUUUAAAAAGUAGAGGGACUAAAUUCCUGAAGGGAUAAAUAUCAAAAUUAUACAUGAACUUUAAUGUGCAAUGUCAUACAUGAAAUUUUUAUUUGAUUCAAUUUUCACAAAUCAUUAGCACUAUUUUACAUUAAUAUUGAUCCAAUAUGAAAAUAAAUGUAUGUGCUCGUUUCCUUAAAUGUGUACAAUUGAAUCAAAAUCAAAGUUUUAUGUAUACAUAUGAAUCACUAUUUGAGUUUCAUGUGUAUAAUUGCACCAAAUCAAAGUUCACGUAUCAAAAUGCAAAUUAAACCAAAGUCAUGUAUAAGUUUGAUAUUUAAAAAACUAAAAAUUAAUCUUAAUGAAAUGAUAAAAUAGGAAGAAAGACUUUGGAAGUCAAUAUGGUUUUGGCAUAUUAUUAGUGAGAAGAAAAAAGGUGUAUGGAUUUGAUUCAACCAACCUUUUAAUGGUGAUAGGGUAAGGCUACCUAUUUACUUAAGUCUAUUGUAGAAUAUAUAUUUCAGCAAUUGGUGCCCAUGUUUCACUCCAAAACUUGGUUCUAUAAUCAACUCAUUGAUGGAAAUUUCUUCAAGAUUAGAUUAUUGAAGAAAAAAGCUUAUGGUCAAGGAAAAAAGACAAAGAGGGACAAAACAUGAUACAUCAAGCCUCACAUGCAUUGCACCAGAAUGACAGAAAUAGACAAAGAAUAUAAGGAUCAUACAGCCUAAAAGUUGAGAAGACUUCAUGGAAAUUCAUCAAGCCUUCACUGUGAAAGUUCAAAGUUAAAAUUGAAGGCCUCAAGUUGAAGAUAUGAAUUCAGGUUGUAAUGCGAAUGGGAAGGGAGUUAUGAGAGAACCAGCUGGUUUGCAUUGCAAUGGCAUGUGUUCCAAGCAUCCUAUAUUCCAAGUCACAUCUAAAAGCACACAGGGGAAGCCGCCAACUCUGAAAUUAGUAGUCUUAAUAUUUUAUUAGUUGAUAAUAAAUGUCUGCAAUUGGAGGAUUGAUUUGAUCCUAUGGCUCUUAUUGUGUUGUUUUUUUCUCAUAUCCACUACAAGGUUAGGAUCUUCACCAGCUUCAACUCAACUUAUGGAGGAUUCAAUGACAGUAUGAAGUAAACUCCAUUAUAGUCAUCAACAUUAAAAUGAUUCAAUUUGGAAAAAAAAAACAUGUAUAGAUUUCAAAAUUUGAAUUAAAACCCAACAGUUGGGAUAUGAUCAGGGUGUUCACCAUCUUAGAUGUGACUUAGAUUCGAGUCGAGCUAGUCCUCUUGUUAUUAAAACUUUGCCCUCCUCUUAUAACUCACAAAAAAAAAUAUAAUAAUUAAGUUUUGACUUAGUCAGCUCAAUGCUUUUCAUUGUGCAACUACAUUGUAACUUCGAUAUAUCUAUUACUUUUAUUCAGUUAAAUGAAAACAAAUUAAUCAAAAUUAUAUCGGUCUAGUUAAUUUAUUAAUCAUAAGCCUCUAUUUCAUUAACCAUUAUACUAACUUUUAGUAAUCAAAGUAGUGUUACUUGGAGAAAAUUUCUUCAUGAUAAAUUACUGAAAAGAAAUGUUUAUUGUCAAAGAAAGAAGACAAAGAGGGAUAAAACAUAAUACAUCAAGCUUCACAUGUAAUAUUGCACCAAAAUCGAGUUAAAUCCAAGAAGCAAAUGUUCUCAAAGUUAAUUUUACUGCCUACAAAAUUUAAAUUCAAAACUUUAUUUAAGAGACAUUGAAUUUUUUUACCACUAAUGCCUAUAAAAUAAUGCUACAAUUUCGUUGUAAGAUGCAGAAUUCUAUACCAAUAAUGCCUACAUCUUUGAUUGCAAUAAUAAUAAGUUAUAUUAAAAAUAUUAAUUCAAGGAAGGGCAGCAGUUUUGCGUCAACACCAAUCAAAGUCUUGGUAUGAUUUUUCCAAGUUGCUAAAAGAAGCUACAAACUUCAGCCGAACAAAAUAAAUGCCAAAGAAAACAUUUUAUUUUCCCUCAAAAUUUUUACUCCCUUCCACUUUUCCCCUAAAACUUUUAAUCCCUUUCCAUCCCACCUCCCAUCUAUGCCAAACCCUCCCCCUCCAAUUUUUUUUAAUAUUUUCCCUCCAAAAUUUUACUCCCCUAUUUACUUUCCCUCAAACUUUUUAUUUUCCCCGUAACCUUUUACUGCUCACCCUUUACUUUCAAAUUAAAAAUCAAAAUUAUCCAAAAAAAUCACUAAACAUAAAUAGUAAUAAUUUUAUUUAUAUCUACUAUUUAUAUUAUUAAAUUAAAUUUCACAUUUUAUAUUCUUUAUAUUAUUGAAUUGUUUAGUCAUAUUGAAUAUUUAUAUUAAAUUUAAAUUAUUAAUUAUGCCAUAAAAUAUUCGUGUUAAAAUUUUAUAUUGGUAUCAAUUUCACAUUUUACUUUUAAAAUAACUUUUAUUAAAAAAAUUAUAUUUAAUAUAUUUUUUAAUUCCAAAAUACAUAGAGAAAAGAAUCUGAAGAUAAUGUUAAUAAAAAAUUUGACUAAGGUGGACAAAUUUUAUUACGAUGGGUGACAGUGGUUACAAUGACCUAAAUUUUUUUUUAAAAUUUAACUCGAACAAAUACAUUCGAUUCGAUUCGAUUCAAAUUCCAUCUCAUUCGACUCGAUUCGAUAAUACUUCAAAUAAAGUUAGGAUGAUAAAAUGAGAUUCGAAAACUCAAUUAACUCGAAAUUUUUUUAUUCGAUUCGAUCGAAUGCUCACCCUAGGUUUGACAGGUUUGACGGUUCUUUCUUUUGCCUACCAUCUCAUUUCUCCGCUUUUUCUCUAUUUUCAGAGUUUCCACCUUCCUUCAUUCUACAUUUUGCUAAAAGGGUUGGUUUUUUAUUUGGCUGCCACUCAGACAGGUUAUGCUGAAAACUCGUGGUUGUGCACUUGCUCCUUCCUCAACCUAGUGCCAUUGCUAUCUUCUUCAUAACUCUUUGUUGUAUUGGUAUCUCUCAUUAUUGAUACUAAUGAGGAUCUCACUCUUUUCAUUGCUUUUCUUGAAUUCUUUUGUAUCGGUUAUGCUUAUUGUCGAUGUGGUCUUGGUUUCGGCUCAAUGUCAAAGUGAUCAGAGUCAGUUGUUGCUUCAGCUUGAAAGCAGCUUCAGCUACAGUCAAACAUCAUCAGGAAAGCUGGUGCCAGUGAAAUGGAAUCAAAGCACAGAUUGUUGUUCCUGGGAUGGUGUAAGAUGCGAUGUAGAUGGCCAUGUUAUCAGUCUUGGCUUGAACAGCAGAUCAAUUUCAAGUUCAAUUGACAAUUCAAGUAGUCUUUUCCGUCUUCAACAUCUUCAGUGGCUCAAUUUAGCUUAUAACAAAUUCAAGCCAGUUUUUCCUACUGUGUUUGAUAAGCUGGAGAAUUUGAGUUAUCUUAACUUGUCCAAUGCUGGCUUUGAAGGGCAAAUUCCAAUAGAGAUAUCACGCUUGACAAGGUUGGUCACUCUUGAUUUAUCUGUAUCUUCACUUCUUGGAAGAUCAUUGAAACUUGAGAGGCCAAACCUAGAGAUGCUUGUUCAAAACCUCACGAGGCUGAGAUUUCUCUAUCUUGAUGGAGUAAAUAUAUCAGCUACGGGGAAUGAGUGGUGCAAGGCUUUAUUGCCGCUGACUGAGUUGCAAGAAUUGAGCAUGUCCAACUGUUAUCUUUCAGGACCUAUACAUUCUUCACUUUCCAAUAUCCGUUCUCUUCGGUUUCUUGACCUGCAUGGCAACCAAUUGCAUGGGAAAAUCCCAAUUCUUCCAUUGCAUGCCAUCUAUCUGGAUUACUCAAACAACAAUUUCAACUCUGUUUUACCAGCUCACGUUGGUGGCUUCCUCCAGUCUGCUAAUUUUUUCUCCAUUUCAAAUAAUAAUUUUCAUGGAAGUAUCCCUCGGUCAAUAUGCAACAGUUCAGCUCUUAAAGUACUUGAUCUAUCUAAUAAUUCCUUGAUGGGGCCAAUUCCUCAAUGCCUCUUUCAGAUGAAUGUGUCUCUUGGAGUAUUGAAUUUGGGGGGAAACAAUCUCAGUGGCAUUAUCCCUGACACUUUUUCAGAAAGCUGUCAGUUACAAACCCUGCAUCUCAAUCAAAACCGAUUGGAAGGAAAGGUUCCAAAAUCAUUGGCCAAUUGCAAAAUGCUGGAGUUUCUAGACAUUGGCAACAAUCUAAUCAAUGGCUCAUUCCCGUGCCAUUUGACGAGUAUAGCCAUGUUACGUGUCCUUGUUUUACGAUCCAACAAUUUCAGCGGUCACAUUGAUUGUUCUGGAGACAAAAGUGGAUGGAAAAUGCUUCAAAUUUUUGACUUAGCAUCCAACAAUUUUAGUGGUAAACUGCAUCUAACAUGUUUGGGGACGUGGGAUGCUAUGCGGCCUAAUCGGGAUAAAAACCAAUUGGAGCUCAAAGAUCUCCGGUUUGAAGGUUACUAUCAAGAUUCAAUAAUAGUUACCAUCAAAGGUUUGGAGUUGGAGCUAGUGAAGAUCCUGACCAUUUUCACCACCAUUGAAAUUUCAUGCAACAACUUUGAAGGGCCAAUACCAGAAGUAAUCGGCACAUUCAAAGCACUUUAUAGCCUCAACUUCUCACAUAAUGCUUUCUCAGGGCCAAUCCCGGUAUUUUUUGGAAACCUGCGAGAGCUAGAGUCUGUGGACCUCUCAAGCAACAGUCUAGAUGGUGAGAUCCCUUUGCAGCUGGCAAACCUCAAUUUCCUUUCAUUUCUUAACGUCUCAAAUAAUAAGCUGGUGGGUCCAAUCCCAACGAGCACCCAGCUUCAGUCAUUUUCAG